rnacentral:tRNA from 1 species
ACUAAAGUGACAGAUUAAUGUGAUAGCUUUAAAAUCUAUUUAUGGGUAACCCUUUGGAU